UCCUGGCUACGAUCGUUGUGCCGACAGCGACCUACCCGUGUGAGACCUGGAAGAUGACUAAACCCUUUGCUCGAAAGUUGGAUGUUUUCCAUCUACGUUGUUUGCGACGCAUCCUUAAAAUUACUUACCGGGACCAUGUCACAAACAUGGAAGUAUACUGUCGUGCCAACACACAGAAUUAAGGUUAAGGUAAUACUAGACAGGUCAGAUGAGAUUGAGGGAAAAAGGUCAACAUGUGUUGGUUCAUCAGCAGCAUAACAGCACACUGACACCACACGGAUAAAGAGCGAAAGAGAGAGAGAGAGAGACAGACCUUUCAAACAAAGGAAAAGAGACUGAACAGACUCUUUCGGCGAUGUGAGGGCCGUGUAAGGAGAUAUUCUAUUUGUAGCUCACUUUUGGUGCAUAGCGGGCAACACUUUUCAUUUCGACG